rnacentral:rRNA from 1 species
UACGUAGGUGGCGAGCGUUGUCCGGAAUUACUGGGUGUAAAGCGCGUGUAGGCGGGAGGCCAAGUCUGCGGUGAAAUCGCUCGGCUCAACUGGGCGGGGUCCGUGGAAACUGGUCACCUGGAGGACGGUAGAGGCGAGUGGAAUUCCCGGUGUAGUGGUGAAAUGCGUAGAGAUCCGGAGGAACCCCAGAGGCGAAGGCGGCGUCCUGGCUCGCAUCUGACGCUCAGACACGACAGCAUGGGGAGCGAACGGG